GACGUAGGGUGCGAGCGUUGUCCGGAUUUAUUGGGCGUAAAGAGCUCGUAGGCGGCUCGUCGCGUCGACCGUGAAAACCCGCGGCUUAACUGCGGGCUUGCGGUUGAUACGGGCGGGCUAGAGUUCGGUAGGGGAGACUGGAAUUCCUGGUGUAGCGGUGAAAUGCGCAGAUAUCAGGAGGAACACCAAUGGCGAAGGCAGAUCUCUGGGCCGUAACUGACGCUGAGGAGCGAAAGCAUGGGGAGCGAACAGG
rnacentral:rRNA from 1 species